AGACCAGCAUGAUUCAAAGUCGGAAGAGACUGCACAAUGGCAUGAAUACUGGAAGGUGAGGAUCACUGGGCGCCAUAUUGGAGACUGUCUAUCACAAGCAAAACAUAUGUACAUGUAGUCCAUUGAAACUAUGGAGAAAGAUGAUACCGAAAACUUCAAGAGAGCUACAGUCAGUGGGAGUUAAUGAUACAGGACCUAUUUCAUGGGAUUUUUGUGAGUAACUGAAGGCCCAUUAUGCACUCAACACAGAGUGGACCCUCACUAAGUUUUCCCUGAACCCGAGUUUCAGGAGGACACUGAGACAAGCAGGAUUGGAGAAAGGAAGGAGCUAACUGGAUCUGCUUCUGCAUUACGUGAUGGAGAGAUGUGGUGGAGGUGGUCAUGGUGGGCCAUACCUUGACCAUACGGAGAAAGGAAAUAGCCUAGGAGCAGAAGAGCAGCAUGUAUAGAAGCAUCCCGAUCCCCGAGCACUAGCGAAGGACAAAGCAGCCACACCAUCUUGGACUUUUAUGUGAGAGAGAAAUAAACUUCUCAUUUAUUAAGCCACACUCAUUUUGAGUUUCUCCAAGAGCAGCUAAACUCUAUUGCAACUAAUAUAAUUUCAAAUACAUUCCCAUUGGCUUUUGACUCCAUGGCCCCAACUAUGUGGGGAACAAAGAGGUUCUUUCUGCCCUAUUCAUCUCUCCCAAACUACUACAGGGCAGUAGCAGGUGAGGUGAGCCCUGGUUUUCAUCAGUAAAGCUAAAAAUGAUUAAAAUGUCUGCAGAAUUAUAUGCCAAAAACGUCUAUUAUUACCAUCUUACUAUGUCUUACUAAAGUUGAAAGGCAUGUAAGAUUUCUCCAGAGAGGCCAUUCACAAUGCAUUGCAGAACCGUGUAGGUAUUUUAUGAAAUGUGUUUUAUUCAAGCCAGGAUAUACAACACUAACAUUAUUGAAAAAAAAAUUGAGGGUCCGGUGGUCUCCUUUUAAUAUAGUCUUUUAACAAAAAAGUAA